rnacentral:pre_miRNA from 1 species
UUAAGUCAAAUUUGUAGGCAGUUGGAACAGCGCCCCUAGGGGCAAACGUAGAUAAACGUAGGCAAACGUUCCAAACUCUAUACAAAUUUGAGUUA